rnacentral:rRNA from 1 species
AAGAAGCAAGACCGUGAGGUGGAGCAAAACUCAAAAACUUGUCUCAGUUCGGAUUGUAGGCUGAAACUCGCCUACAUGAAGCUGGAGUUGCUAGUAAUCGCGAAUCAGCAUGUCGCGGUGAAUACGUUCCCGGGCCUUGUACACACCGCCCGUCACACCAUGAGAGUUGGCAAUACCCAACGUACGUGAUCUAACCCGCAAGGGAGGAAGCGUCCUAAGGUAGGGUCAGCGAUUGGGGUGAAGUCGUAACAAGGUAAC